rnacentral:rRNA from 1 species
UAAUACGUAGGGGGCGAGCGUUGUCCGAAGUCACUGGGCGUAAAGCGCGCGUAGGCGGUCUUUUAAGUUGGAUGUGAAAUCCUGCGGCCCAACCGCAGAACUGCAUCCAAAACUGGGAGACUUGAGGAUGGAAGAGGGCAGUGGAAUUCCUGGUGUAGCGGUGAAAUGCGUAGAUAUCAGGAGGAACACCCGUGGCGAAGGCGGCUGCCUGGUCCAUAUCUGACGCUGAGGUGCGAAAGCCAGGGGAGCGAACGGG